CUCUUCUUGCAGUUUAUUGACUUGCUUCAGUAGCAUUUCAAUCUUUGGUGUUAUCUCCUCUGUCUGCACACCUCUCUUGUCCAAUUCUUCUCCUUUUCCCUUCUGUUUAGCUAAAUCUUGAAGUUCUUUCUCUAAAUUUACAGUCCUCUUUGCAAUCACAUUCCUUUCAGCCAAUAUAAUUUCUUGCUGCUUCUUCAUCAUGUUCCCUACCACUAACAUUUCAGACCUCAAGAAUCUACAGUCAAAACCUCGCAUUUCCAAAGUCCUAAUCAUCUUGCUUAAUGACUCCACAUAGUCUG
rnacentral:misc_RNA from 1 species